UUCCGACGCGUUGGUGCGCUCGGAUUAACGUUAUGAGAAGCCGAUGCAAAGUUAUGGCCAAAUAAGCCUAAUUUGGCUUCGUUAUGCCGCAGGUAAAGAACGAAAAGUCUAAAAAUCUCAAGAAAAUCAUCGGAGCACCUUUGAAAGCCUACGAGGUGGGUGGUGCUUCUCAAACUCGUUGAACUUCCCUCUAUGCCUAAUGUGUCAUUCAUUUGAGCAUAUAUAUAUAUGUUGUUGCAUGCAUUUUAGGGUAAAGUGAUGAUGAUAAUGUAAUGUUGCAUGAUUGUGAGUACAACUUGCAUAAUAUGAUGAAUGAGAACCUUAUGAAUGUUAGAACCCUAUAUGUAUGCAUGAGAGAAAAUGUGAGUGCCAAAGUGAGCCAAAAGAACCGAGUGGCACCAUGACAUAGAUCGAGUGGCAUUUGAAAACGUAAAGUAAAGUGACACUAGAGUUAGUGUGAGCCAAAGAACCAAAGUGAUGUAAACAAUGACGAAAAUGACAAUGUGUAAAGUUAAAGUAAAGUGGGGCAAUUAGAACGAGAAAUGUAAAGAAUAAGAAUACUAAAGAUGGCAAAAGUAAAAGAAAAGUAAAGAACAACGAUUGCUAGAGUUAGCAACAUAAAGUGACAUAAAGAACACUAGAGCUAGUGUAAAGUCAAGAUUGAACUUAUAUGUCACGACCCGCGACCCCCGCCAAUUUGGUCAGGUUCGCGGCACCGACAGUGCCGAACGGACCGAGGAUUCCCCUGUACCUCGGACAGAGUCUCCCCUGUACGUUCAAGGCAACGCAAUCAAUACAACACGAAGGUUCCAACCAGGAACAGAUAUCAAUCAAGAUUGCAAAAUGGAAGGUAUCAAUAACAUAACACAUCCUAAGUUAUUACACGCAUUCACAUUCAUAUGUUUUACAUCACAGUUCUUUUUUUACAUUCUUUUCUUUCAUCCAACCAAAUGCAAUCUAAGCAACUACAUCAUUAUUUAUAAGUAUAGUACAUCUUGAUAUGAAUUAUUACAUCAAUUAUUCAUUACAAUUUGAUACAUUGAUCUUUCAUCUCUAUACCCCUAGGAUAUGUCGACUCGGGGUACCGCUAACUCUGGUCUCUAUGGUAGGGCGCUAUCUACUGAGCUACGCCCUUUCCUCGCGCCGCCGCGCCGCUCACGUGCGAACCUGUAACACCCCAAAACAACGUGGGGUGAGAACCAACUCCAUGGUUCCCAGUGGGUACGGCCACCCAAGGGAAAAGCUCGACCAAUAGGUCAAAGAGAGGCAACCUGCAGGUUAGUUCAAUAAACAGAUAGAUAUAUAUAUCUAAAUUAUGCAACUAAUGAAACCUCGCAUUGCCUCACGAUAUGCAAUAUGGAUAUCAUGCAUUUCUAUGCCACUAUGCAUCUAU
rnacentral:lncRNA from 1 species